CAGCUAUGAUGAAUAUUCAACUGUGACCGGAGACUUGUCGUCAGUGACGGUUCACAACCCUCUAAGAAGUUCUGAGCGC